rnacentral:rRNA from 1 species
CAUUAGUGAAUUUGUAGCCUCCAAGGCUCACAUUCUCUAUCCUUUACACACCUGUGCACCCUUCUGAAGCGGAGAGUUAUUAGGCAUUAGCCGAGCGCCUCCCUUCGGUUAUUAUAUCAAACUCAAACUACGUUUACUAGAAUGUAUACCGUCUUGUUGUAAUGACAAGUACAAUCCAAUAAAACUUUCAGCAACGGAUCUCUUGGCUCAGGCAUCGAUGAAGAACGCAGCGAAAUGCGAUAAGUAAUGUGAAUUGCAGAAUCCAGUGAAUCAUCGAAUCUUUGAACGCAACUUGCGCCCUCUGGUAUUCCGGAGGGCAUGCCUGUUUGAGUGUCGUGAACACCUCAACCCUCUAAUGUUUUUGCAUUGAUGGCGUUGGUAGUGAGCGCUGCCGGUCUUUGGGUCGGCUCGCUUUAAAAUAAUUAGCUGGAUCCAUUCUGACCUGGUUCUACUCGGCGUAAUAAGUUAUUAUCGUCGAGGACGCCUAGCCUUCUAGGCAGGCGGCCACAGUAAGGGUGUUUGAACCGCUUCCAACACGUCUUGCUCUUGUAGCAAACACUUGAACCUCUGACCUCAAAUCAGGCAGGACUACCCGCUGAACUUAAGCAUAUCAAUAAGCGGAGGAAAAGAAACUAACAAGGAUUCCCCUAGUAACGGCGAGUGAAGCGGGAACAGCUCAAAUUUGAAACCUGGUGGCCUUCGGUCAUCCGGAUUGUAUUCUAGAGAAGCGUCUUCCACGCUGGUCCACGUAUAAGUGCCCUGGAACGGGCUGUCAUAGAGGGUGAGAAUCCCGUCCUUGAUGUGGGCUACCAGUGUUUUUGUGAUGCGCUUUCGAAGAGUCGAGUUGUUUGGGAAUGCAGCUCAAAGUGGGUGGUAAAUUCCAUCUAAAGCUAAAUAUUGGCCUGAGACCGAUAGCGAACAAGUACCGUGAGGGAAAGAUGAAAAGCACUUUGAAAAGAGAGUCAAACAGUACGUGAAAUUGCUGAAAGGGAAACGCUUGAAGUCAGUCGCGCCCCCUGGAAUUCAGCCCUGCUUUUGUAGGGUGUACUUUCCAGGGGGUGGGCCAACAUCAGUUUUGACCGGCGGAUAAAGGCUGGGGGAAUGUGGCUCCUUCGGGAGUGUUAUAGCCCCCAGUCACAUAUGCCGGUUGGGAUCUGAGGAACGCAGCGCGCCCUUGUGGCAGGCCUUC